AAAUAGCUUAAAAUUACAGGUUUUUUGAAAUUAAAAGGGAAAGCGGUGAAAAAUCCGCUGCAGCCCCCGCUACUGUAAAUAGGAACGAAAUCAUACAAUUACCACUGGAAGCUUUUCUGGGAAGGUAUUGAGAGUAGGAUGAACUAUUAGCCAGGAGACCUGCCUGUAACUUUUAUAAAUA
rnacentral:ncRNA from 2 species